CCAGACUCCUACGGGAGGCAGCAGUGGGGGAUAUUGCACAAUGGGGGAAACCCUGAUGCAGCGACGCCGCGUGGGUGAAGAAGCGCCUCGGCGCGUAAAGCCCUGUCAGCAGGGAAGAAAAUGACGGUACCUGAAGAAGAAGCCCCGGCUAACUACGUGCCAGCAGCCGCGGUAAUACGUAGGGGGCAAGCGUUAUCCGGAUUUACUGGGUGUAAAGGGAGCGUAGGCGGUUUAGCAAGUCAGAAGUGAAAGCCCGGGGCUCAACUCCGGGACUGCUUUUGAAACUGUUGAACUAGAUUGCAGGAGAGGUAAGUGGAAUUCCUAGUGUAGCGGUGAAAUGCGUAGAUAUUAGGAGGAACACCAGUGGCGAAGGCGGCCUGCUGGACAGUAACUGACGUUGAGGCUCGAAAGCGUGGGGAGCAAACAGGAUUAGAUACCCCGGUAUAG
rnacentral:rRNA from 1 species